rnacentral:rRNA from 1 species
CUACGGGGUGCUCCAGUAGGGAAUCUUGCGCAAUGGGCGAAAGCCUGACGCAGCAACGCCGCGUGAGCGAAGACGGCCUUCGGGUUGUAAAGCUCUGUCAGGAGGGACGAAGCCACUCGGGUGAAUAGCCCAGAGGGUGACGGUACCUCCAGAGGAAGCCCCGGCUAACUACGUGCCAGCAGCCGCGGUAAUACGUAGGGGGCAAGUGUUGUCCGGAAUUAUUGGGCGUAAAGAGCGUGUAGGCGGCUCGUCAAGUCCGAUGUGAAAUCUCGUGGCUCAACCACGAAACUGCAUUGGAAACUGGCUUGCUAGAGUCCGGAAGAGGAGAAUGGAAUUCCUGGUGUAGCGGUGAAAUGCGCAGAUAUCAGGAAGAACACCGGUGGCGAAGGCGGUUCUCUGGGACGGUACUGACGCUGAGACGCGAAAGCGUGGGGAGCGAACAGGAUUAGAUACCCGAGUAGUC